UCAACAACAACACAUGACUAAUCCAAUGAGAAUCUCAAUGAUUCAUGUCUUGACAAAGGAAAAAUAUGUGGUCCAGCCACUCUUAAACAACAACACAAUAAACAAAAGCUAAAAGGUCUAAGUGGUCCACAAUACACAAAGUUUUUCAAAAGAUGCACCCCAUGUGCAGGCUAAACAAUAUUACAUUUCUUCUGGAUCUACUCUUCUACCCUAACCCUUCACAAUUCUUGUUCCUUUUUUGAGUUUCUUUGCUCCUCCUACACGACCAGCAACUCCAACAUAAUUGACUUCAUGAUCUGCAACUUGAUCUUGGAGCUAAGAGUUAUGAGGGAUUGCAGCAGUAUCUACAGGUUGAGUACUUGCAACAGCAGCAACACCUUCUGUGAUCUGAACUCUCCCCUUCAUAAAAGAACAAGUUUGAGGGUUCUGGACAUCAAAAAUUUGGAAAAAAAAUUGCAGAUCUAGGUAGUAUAAUUACCCCAUGUGUUUGAUCUGCAGCUGCAACUGAGAUGUGUGCAGGAUAUUUACCUUCCCAACUGGCUGUGUUGAAUCAAUCACUUGGCUAGCAUCUGCAUUAGCACUA